rnacentral:tRNA from 1 species
UUGGCUCAGUGGUUAAGCACUCGGCUGCUAACCGAAAGGUCGAUGGUUCGACUCCACCA